UGAAGCACGCACACAUGCAAGGCUGGCCCCAUGUCUUCCUUGGCUGCGAACAUCAUCUACAGGCUAGCAGUAUGACCGGAUGCGAGGACCUGCUCACUGACCAGGACAAUCUAUGAGCUCCCAGCGCCUCUGAUACAAGGAUGGCAAGUUGUCGCAGCUGGAGCAAGUCU